GCCGCUUUAGCUCAGCUGGUAGAGCAUCGCAUUCGUAAUGCGGGGGUCACAGGUUCGAGUCCUGUAAGCGGCA
rfam:Sphingomonas sp. Root241 contig_1, whole genome shotgun sequence.